rnacentral:lncRNA from 1 species
GUUUGGCCCAGCUAACCCCACACAUUCCACUGACUUGGGCCACACUAUCCAGGCCCGACAUGACCAGAUCUGCUUCCCGUUCAGGUUUCCUGAGCGCACUGCAUCUGAGCACAGCCCCAGUCCAAACUACACAUCAGUAGGCCCAAUCAUGGGGCGUCUGAGGAACCGUAUCGCUCACGAGCAACAGGGUAACUGACUGUUGUAACGGAUAGCUUCGGUGGCUGCUGGGAGGGGACGAGAUAACCGCAGCCUGGACUACGCAGCUCAGGCAAGAGGCCUCAGGCCUCACGCAGCCGUUCCCCGCGGGGCACUUCCCACGGGCACCUCCAGGCUGCCCUCCGUCACGCGUCCUUCUUCUCCAGGCUGCCCUCCGUCACGCUCCUUCUCCAGGCUGCCCUCCAUCACGCGUCCUUCUUCUCCAGGCUGCCCUCCAUCACGCGUCC